GUUCGAGAAGCCUGUAGCCCUGGCUGGAAACACAAAGCACAUGCAGUAAUGGAUGAUUCGACUGUACGCUCAUUACUCAUGCCCGGAAACAUACUGCUCAGCACUGACAUUUUUCAAGCAUGGAAAGGUCACAGACAAUACUCUGCGAGUGGAUUCUAAUCUUUCAAAUCCCACUGCCAAGUUCUACGUUUCUCCAUCUUACAUACAAUGUGCGUUGUUUUGAAAUGUGCUAUGUAUUUCUUUGAACGUAAUAACAAUCAUGUCAUUUUAAUGAAUGCGUAUCUCAAAUCACCUAUUAAAUAUUAACUAGAUAAGCUACAAUCACUAUAUUUCCCCUUUAAAUGGCGACACUUAUAAAACUAAACAUAUAUUUUGCGGCAGCAGUUAUUUAAUAGAACCUGAC